GUGGAAGAUGAAUGGACGUGAUCA
rnacentral:piRNA from 1 species